rnacentral:rRNA from 1 species
AUUGAACGCUGGCGGCAUGCCUUACACAUGCAAGUCGAACGGCAGCACGGGUGCUUGCACCUGGUGGCGAGUGGCGAACGGGUGAGUAAUACAUCGGAACGUACCUUAUCGUGGGGGAUAACGCAGCGAAAGCUGUGCUAAUACCGCAUACGCCCUGAGGGGGAAAGCGGGGGAUCGCAAGACCUCGCGCGAUUAGAGCGGCCGAUGCCUGAUUAGCUUGUUGGUGGGGUAAAAGCCCACCAAGGCGACGAUCAGUAGCUGGUCUGAGGGGACGAUCGGCCACACGGGGAAUGAGACACGGCCCAGACUCCUACGGGAGGCAGCAGUGGGGAAUUUUGGACAAUGGGGGCAACCCUGAUCCAGCAAUGCCGCGUGAGUGAAGAAGGCCUUCGGGUUGUAAAGCUCUUUUGUCAGGGAAGAAACACCGGCUCUAACACAGUCCGGGAAUGACGGUACCUGCAGAAAAAGCACCGGCUAACUACGUGCCAGCAGCCGCAGUAA